rnacentral:rRNA from 1 species
GACUCAACGCGGGAAAUCUUACCGGGUCCGGACACACUGAGGAUUGACAGACAGUAUUCAUGCCGACUGAAUUUCGACAUAUUUCAAAUGUGCGAGUUCUUUCAUGAUUGUGUGAUAGGUGGUGCAUGGCCGUUCUUAGUUCGUGGAGUGAUCUGUCUGCUUAAUUGCGUUUCAUAUUUACGAAUGUCGCUUACGUGAUUGCUGCAGACCUCGUCUCUUUAUUGAGUGCGACGCGUCUCUUCAACUCACUCGCACAUUCUCUUGAACGCAACGAGCGUGACCGCAACCUCUUGUUGUGUAUACCAAGUGUGUCGCUUGGCUUUACUGCCAGCUCGCACUCCAAUGCACGUAUUUUGGUCACAUUGUCUCGGCCGUCGCGCAGCCUCGGCUGUGUCGGCGCCAGCAAUGUCCAAAUAAACUUGAGGGACCGCUGUAACAAUUCUUUUAAACCAGAGGAAGGUUGCGGCAAUAACAGGUCUGUGAUGCCCUUAGAUGUCCCGGGCUGCACACGUGCUACAAUGAUCAGUACAGUGAGCAUCUUUGCAAUACCAGCGUUUGGAGGCCUGGCCAAGUCACUUGUGACUCGGCUUGCAGUCUCUACGUUGCCUUCCCAAGUCUGACAAGAUUUGGAAAUCCAUUGGAAGUCCUGAAUCAAUCCCUAUUGAGCAUUUUUCUCUACAGUGGCGCCAGACUUCGUCCCAUGUCGGUUCGCCUGACUUGUGCGGCACUUGGCGUCUACUAUAUGCAAUUGUCAAUUCAUAGUGGGGACAGACGAUUGUUAAUUGUUCGUCUCGGUCUCAACUAGGAAUGCCUUGUACGGGUCUUUGGUUCACCAGACCACCCGGAAUACGUCCCUGCCCUUUGUACACACCGCCCGUCGCUCUUACCGAUGAACUUCUCUGUGAGUUUGAGGGACCGUCAAUUGUGUGGCAACACACGACGCUAUGGAAACUUAAACGAACAGUGUGAUUUAAAG